CAGUCUGAGCAAACCGGUUUUAUACUAUAGAGACUCUUUGGACUUUAUAGUCGUAGGUUCUAUUGUAUGACGUGGCCCUAAUCUGUAACAAAUAUACCAAAUAUGACGUAAAAUUAUUUUGAAUUACGUUUCUCGCUCGCGGAGACAAUCUUCUAAAACAGCUUUGUCAUUAUAUCCGUCGACGUAAUUUACACGCUUGACACUCGCUGUUUAUAAAAUCCGUGCAAUUAAAGCAUCGAUGUAACUAAGAAGAUUCAGAGCACGUGCGCGUAUUGGCAGACAAUCGAUGAGAAAGAUUUUCCAACAGUAAGUAGAAAAAUGAAAUUAAUGCCAAAUAUAGGCUUACAUUCAAAAGUAUAUUUUUUGUAUAUAAAGUCAGGUUAUAAGCAGUGUAGGCAUACAUAUCAGAACUAAAGAAGGAGAGAAGAGUAACCACAAACGACGAUGUAAUUUUUGUAAACGUUUUGUUAAUAUCAGGAAAGUUUCUAUAUUCAGCCUAAACAUAUGUAUAUUGGGCAUAGCUGAUUUAGUAGUUACAAGUAUACUCUUUAUAUUGAUAUUUAGAGCAAUUAAUAAUCGCAACAACUAACGGGGAAGCUGGUCGUGGUCGUGAAGAUACAGCUGUUUACCCGAAACAUCACUAGAACCUCAGGACAAAGUCGUGGAAAAUUCUCAACAAUGUAAAUAAGUAGACAGCAAGAAAGUUGAUACAUAGGGCAUUGCAAUCAAGCAGCCACUACUACGGGAUGUGGAUUAAAGUUACUCACAAUACAAUUGUCCCUACAACAGUUACUGCCAGAAAAAAGAGCAUCCGACAAUAAUGCUGGUGCAGCGCAAACUGAAUAAUAACUAUGUACUCAGAGACAUAAAUAAAUGCUGAUUCCUUCCGACA